rnacentral:rRNA from 1 species
UUGGCUUCUUUGAUCAUGCUUGUCUCCUGGGAAAUUUGGAAAGAGAGAAAUAGUCGUGUCCUCCGCCACCACACCUCCCCCAUCAACCUGGAUACUUCAAGAAUCAAGGAGGAGACCAAGCUUUGGGCUUUGGCCGGUAACUUUCGCUUGGGCAUUGUAACUCCGGGAGAUUAA